UUAAGCGACUAAGCGUACACGGUGGAUGCCCUGGCAGUCAGAGGCGAUGAAGGACGUGCUAAUCUGCGAUAAGCGUCGGUAAGGUGAUAUGAACCGUUAUAACCGGCGAUUUCCGAAUGGGGAAACCCAGUGUGUUUCGACACACUAUCAUUAACUGAAUCCAUAGGUUAAUGAGGCGAACCGGGGGAACUGAAACAUCUAAGUACCCCGAGGAAAAGAAAUCAACCGAGAUUCCCCCAGUAGCGGCGAGCGAACGGGGAGCAGCCCAGAGCCUGAAUCAGUGUGUGUGUUAGUGGAAGCGUCUGGAAAGGCGCGCGAUACAGGGUGACAGCCCCGUACACAAAAAUGCACAUGCUGUGAGCUCGAUGAGUAGGGCGGGACACGUGGUAUCCUGUCUGAAUAUGGGGGGACCAUCCUCCAAGGCUAAAUACUCCUGACUGACCGAUAGUGAACCAGUACCGUGAGGGAAAGGCGAAAAGAACCCCGGCGAGGGGAGUGAAAAAGAACCUGAAACCGUGUACGUACAAGCAGUGGGAGCCUCUUUAUGGGGUGACUGCGUACCUUUUGUAUAAUGGGUCAGCGACUUAUAUUCUGUAGCAAGGUUAACCGAAUAGGGGAGCCGAAGGGAAACCGAGUCUUAACUGGGCGUUAAGUUGCAGGGUAUAGACCCGAAACCCGGUGAUCUAGCCAUGGGCAGGUUGAAGGUUGGGUAACACUAACUGGAGGACCGAACCGACUAAUGUUGAAAAAUUAGCGGAUGACUUGUGGCUGGGGGUGAAAGGCCAAUCAAACCGGGAGAUAGCUGGUUCUCCCCGAAAGCUAUUUAGGUAGCGCCUCGUGAAUUCAUCUCCGGGGGUAGAGCACUGUUUCGGCAAGGGGGUCAUCCCGACUUACCAACCCGAUGCAAACUGCGAAUACCGGAGAAUGUUAUCACGGGAGACACACGGCGGGUGCUAACGUCCGUCGUGAAGAGGGAAACAACCCAGACCGCCAGCUAAGGUCCCAAAGUCAUGGUUAAGUGGGAAACGAUGUGGGAAGGCCCAGACAGCCAGGAUGUUGGCUUAGAAGCAGCCAUCAUUUAAAGAAAGCGUAAUAGCUCACUGGUCGAGUCGGCCUGCGCGGAAGAUGUAACGGGGCUAAACCAUGCACCGAAGCUGCGGCAGCGACGCUUAUGCGUUGUUGGGUAGGGGAGCGUUCUGUAAGCCUGUGAAGGUGUGCUGUGAGGCAUGCUGGAGGUAUCAGAAGUGCGAAUGCUGACAUAAGUAACGAUAAAGCGGGUGAAAAGCCCGCUCGCCGGAAGACCAAGGGUUCCUGUCCAACGUUAAUCGGGGCAGGGUGAGUCGACCCCUAAGGCGAGGCCGAAAGGCGUAGUCGAUGGGAAACAGGUUAAUAUUCCUGUACUUGGUGUUACUGCGAAGGGGGGACGGAGAAGGCUAUGUUGGCCGGGCGACGGUUGUCCCGGUUUAAGCGUGUAGGCUGAUUUUCCAGGCAAAUCCGGAAAAUCAAGGCUGAGGCGUGAUGACGAGGCACUACGGUGCUGAAGCAACAAAUGCCCUGCUUCCAGGAAAAGCCUCUAAGCAUCAGGUAACAUCAAAUCGUACCCCAAACCGACACAGGUGGUCAGGUAGAGAAUACCAAGGCGCUUGAGAGAACUCGGGUGAAGGAACUAGGCAAAAUGGUGCCGUAACUUCGGGAGAAGGCACGCUGAUAUGUAGGUGAAGUCCCUCGCGGAUGGAGCUGAAAUCAGUCGAAGAUACCAGCUGGCUGCAACUGUUUAUUAAAAACACAGCACUGUGCAAACACGAAAGUGGACGUAUACGGUGUGACGCCUGCCCGGUGCCGGAAGGUUAAUUGAUGGGGUCAGCGCAAGCGAAGCUCUUGAUCGAAGCCCCGGUAAACGGCGGCCGUAACUAUAACGGUCCUAAGGUAGCGAAAUUCCUUGUCGGGUAAGUUCCGACCUGCACGAAUGGCGUAAUGAUGGCCAGGCUGUCUCCACCCGAGACUCAGUGAAAUUGAACUCGCUGUGAAGAUGCAGUGUACCCGCGGCAAGACGGAAAGACCCCGUGAACCUUUACUAUAGCUUGACACUGAACAUUGAGCCUUGAUGUGUAGGAUAGGUGGGAGGCUUUGAAGUGUGGACGCCAGUCUGCAUGGAGCCGGCCUUGAAAUACCACCCUUUAAUGUUUGAUGUUCUAACGUGGACCCGUAAUCCGGGUUGCGGACAGUGUCUGGUGGGUAGUUUGACUGGGGCGGUCUCCUCCUAAAGAGUAACGGAGGAGCACGAAGGUUGGCUAAUCCUGGUCGGACAUCAGGAGGUUAGUGCAAUGGCAUAAGCCAGCUUGACUGCGAGCGUGACGGCGCGAGCAGGUGCGAAAGCAGGUCAUAGUGAUCCGGUGGUUCUGAAUGGAAGGGCCAUCGCUCAACGGAUAAAAGGUACUCCGGGGAUAACAGGCUGAUACCGCCCAAGAGUUCAUAUCGACGGCGGUGUUUGGCACCUCGAUGUCGGCUCAUCACAUCCUGGGGCUGAAGUAGGUCCCAAGGGUAUGGCUGUUCGCCAUUUAAAGUGGUACGCGAGCUGGGUUUAGAACGUCGUGAGACAGUUCGGUCCCUAUCUGCCGUGGGCGCUGGAGAACUGAGGGGGGCUGCUCCUAGUACGAGAGGACCGGAGUGGACGCAUCACUGGUGUUCGGGUUGUCAUGCCAAUGGCACUGCCCGGUAGCUAAAUGCGGAAGAGAUAAGUGCUGAAAGCAUCUAAGCACGAAACUUGCCCCGAGAUGAGUUCUCCCUGACCCUUUAAGGGUCCUGAAGGAACGUUGAAGACGACGACGUUGAUAGGCCGGGUGUGUAAGCGCAGCGAUGCGUUGAGCUAACCGGUACUAAUGAACCGUGAGGCUUAACCUU
rnacentral:rRNA from 2 species